UUUUUUUAUUUUCUUCUUUUGAUUUGUUGCAUACACAUCAAUUUUUGCUACAUACAUAUAAAACUUAAAGAUCAUUUGAGGAAUUGAAGGAUUGGAUUUCAUAUUUGUAUGUAUGUUUAACAUGUGAACUUGAAAAUAGAAGGUUAGAAAAAGGUUGGAGGCGAUUGCAGGAAAAGAAAUUCCACAUAGAGGUGUUUUUAUCUGUUUUUGUGUGUUUGUAUGUAGGUAUAUAUAUUUGUAUAGGUGUGUGUGUGUAUAUAUAUAUAUAUAUAUAUAUAUAUAUAUAUAUAUAUAUAUAUAUAUAUAUAUAUAUAUAUAUAGUAAUAGCCUAUGAUUUUUAUUCUUCUUUUUGGAAGGGUAUUCUCUGUGGAUAAAUCUUAUUGUAGAUAUUGGAUCUGCAGGCAAUAGGCUACAAAUUUUGAUUGAUUGAGAUGGGGCAAAUUUUCAGUUAAAUCUAUUUUAAAGUUGAACAUCUAUCUUUUGAUGAGUGGCCACAAGUUUUUGGUUUUCAUGCUAUAUCUCCUUAAAUGCCAAAGCUUCCUUAUAUGGUUUUCUCUUUCCUAUGAAAAUUCUGUAAUUAAACUUCUGAACAUAUAUUUACAAGUGAAGGAUAAAAUAGAAGGAAAAAGGAAGUAUGGAAAUGGGACGAGAAUCAGUAGAGGUAGAAACACCCCAAAUCAUAUUCUAUGGAGAGGUUUGUUAAUUUUUUCUACCAAAUUUGUCUUAUUGAAGCCGACUUUUAAACAUUAUUGUUCGUAAGCCGGAUUGGUUGUCACACCCCAAAACCGAAACAGCGGAAACGUUUGGGGGCGGAGGACGUCAUGUACUGUAUCAGAACAAUUGUAUAAUAGUAAUCAAAGCAAACAUAAUCAUUAAAUUGAUAAAAUAUAGUGUUUACAUCUGUUUAGUACAUGAUUUGUAUGACAUCAAAAGUAUAUAGCAAAAGUAUAAAAGAUGCGACUCUCUAAAGCUCCGUCUUCUCAAAACUAGUGAGUGUACCUGUCUACCGGUUCUUUGAGAAUACAAGUGAUUUUGAAAGUGUAUCAACAUUUAAGUUGGUGAUUUCAUAAGUAUGUUUUUGAGAUGGAAAGCUUUGUCUUGGUUCAUUGAAAAAUGUUAUAGUGUUCUCCUAGAAAAUCCAAUAUUUUCUUUAGUGAAUGAAAUGUAGUCUUAUUAAUAAAUAUAACUUUAUCA